rnacentral:rRNA from 1 species
AGAGUUUGAUCCUGGCUCAGGAUGAACGCUAGCGGCAGGCUUAAUACAUGCAAGUCGUGGGGCAGCGCAGUGUAGCAAUACAUGGGCGGCGACCGGCAAACGGGUGCGGAACACGUACACAACCUUCCUACAAGUGGGGAAUAGCCCAGAGAAAUUUGGAUUAAUACCCCGUAACAUAUAAAGAUGGCAUCAUUUUUAUAUUAUAGCUACGGCGCUUGUUGAUGGGUGUGCGGCUGAUUAGGUAGUUGGCGGGGUAAUGGCCCACCAAGCCUGCGAUCAGUAGCUGAUGUGAGAGCAUGAUCAGCCACACGGGCACUGAGACACGGGCCCGACUCCUACGGGAGGCAGCAGUAAGGAAUAUUGGACAAUGGGCGCAAGCCUGAUCCAGCCAUGCCGCGUGAAGGAUUAAGGUCCUCUGGAUUGUAAACUUCUUUUAUAAGGGACGAAAAAAGGGAAUUCUUUCUCACUUGACGGUACCUUAUGAAUAAGCACCGGCUAACUCCGUGCCAGCAGCCGCGGUAAUACGGAGGGUGCAAGCGUUAUCCGGAUUCACUGGGUUUAAAGGGUGCGUAGGCGGGUAUUUAAGUCAGUGGUGAAAUCCUAGAGCUUAACUCUAGAACUGCCAUUGAUACUAUUUAUCUUGAAUAUUGUGGAGGUAAGCGGAAUAUGUCAUGUAGCGGUGAAAUGCUUAGAUAUGACAUAGAACACCUAUUGCGAAGGCAGCUUACUACGCAUAUAUUGACGCUGAGGCACGAAAGCGUGGGGAUCAAACAGGAUUAGAUACCCUGGUAGUCCACGCCCUAAACGAUGGAUACUCGACAUACGCGAUACACUGUGUGUGUCUGAGCGAAAGCAUUAAGUAUCCCACCUGGGAAGUACGACCGCAAGGUUGAAACUCAAAGGAAUUGACGGG